GAGUCGCGAAAUGAAGCGAACAUCAGGAUGAUGGCGCUUCUGCAGGACCCGCCAGGAUGGCGUUGCAAGGACAGGCUUCAGGAUGAAGCAAGGAUAACGCAGGAUCGCGUAAUGGACACCUCCAGGAUGGAGAACGAGAGCCGCUCAGGAUGAACGGUGGAUCAGGAAGAUCGGGACAAACUUAUGGAUAAGUCAUUUCACAUCGGGGUGGUGUGAAA
rnacentral:misc_RNA from 1 species